GACGAACGCUGGCGGCGUGCCUAACACAUGCAAGUCGAACGAGGUCCAUGAGAGCUUGCUCUCAGAAGACCUAGUGGCGAACGGGUGAGUAACACGUGAGAAACCUGCCUCGGAGUGGGGAAUAACUCGGGGAAACUCGAGCUAAUACCGCAUAUCUUCACAUGAUCGCAUGGUCGAGUGAAGAAAGAAUUUCGCUCUGAGAGGGUCUCGCGGCCUAUCAGCUUGUUGGUGGGGUAACGGCCCACCAAGGCAACGACGGGUAGCUGGUUUGAGAGAACGAUCAGCCACACUGGGACUGAGACACGGCCCAGACUCCUACGGGAGGCAGCAGUGGGGAAUCUUGCGCAAUGGGCGAAAGCCUGACGCAGCAACGCCGCGUGCGGGAUGACGGCCUUCGUGGUUGUAACCGCUUUCAGCAGGGACGAAAAUGACGGUACCUGCAGAAGAAGACCCCGGCUAACUACGUGCCAGCAGCCGCGGUAA
rnacentral:rRNA from 1 species